AUAUCUCUCUGUACGGGAAGGAUGAGAAGCUUCGACCAAGGUUCGAUUCGAGCGCAGCGAGAAAGCGUUGCCGCAGGCAACGACCCGAAGGGCGAAGCGCGCAGCG
rnacentral:sRNA from 2 species